CAGGGCCCAUCGCCUUUCCUACACCAUUUAAAAAAAGUGUUGCUUUAGAUAUAUGAAAGCAACAAUAAUCUAGUAAUAGAACAAUUCAAUCUACAAAUAUAACAACAUAAUCAGCAUAGAUGUUAUAUUACAAUGACGCUGCUUGAAGAGAGCUGAGCAGAUAUAUAUACAUGUAUUGAAGCAACAAAAUGCUGGUCAACUACUACCUUGUUUUCUCAUUUGGGAACAUUUCUGUUUAUUUAUGUUUGGAGUUUCUAGGGACCUAUGGCAGAUGCAAAUUUUAUUCAAGAGAAGUUUAUUCGGAAGUAUGUAAACUUAGCAUAAAUAUACGACAAUUGUUGUCUUAA
rnacentral:lncRNA from 1 species